UACGGAGGGUGCGAGCGUUGUCCGGAAUCACUGGGCGUAAAGGGCGCGUAGGCGGCGCGGGAAGUCAUCGGUGAAAGUUCAGGGCUCAACUCUGAAUCGGCCGGUGAUACUCUCGUGCUCGAGCACUGUAGAGGCAGGUGGAAUUCCGGGUGUAGCGGUGGAAUGCGCAGAUAUCAGGAAGAACACCCGUGGCGAAAGCGGCUCUCUGGAACGGUACUGACGCUAAGGCGCGAAAGCGUGGGGAGCAAACAGG
rnacentral:rRNA from 1 species